UUGCCGCACUAUGCCUCGGUUUUAUUGGAGUUAUUUGGGCACCACGAUGUUUAAGGAAAGAUGGAGAAUAUGACUGUUGUGUCGGUUAUAAAUGGAACGAGACAACGAAAGAAUGUGACACGAGGUGUCUACCUGGAUACUUUGGUAUAAAUUGUACACAGCGCUGUAACGCCGGAAGUUAUGGGGAUCGAUGUGUUAAAUGUACAGAGUGUGUAGAG